GUAUUAUAUGAAAGGAGAGAAGAUUAGCAUUCCCCUUGACAAGAAUAGAAGAGGCCCUUGGCCUGACCAACACAAAUUCCAUUAAGCCAUUAUCACCUACUUGUUGACAUCUAACCAUAGUUUUGU
rnacentral:ncRNA from 1 species